UGCAGUCGAACGGCAGCACGGGAGCUUGCUCCUGGUGGCGAGUGGCGAACGGGUGAGUAAUAUAUCGGAACGUGCCCUAGAGUGGGGGAUAACUAGUCGAAAGAUUAGCUAAUACCGCAUACGAUCUACGGAUGAAAGUGGGGGAUCGCAAGACCUCAUGCUCGUGGAGCGGCCGAUAUCUGAUUAGCUAGUUGGUGAGGUAAAGGCUCACCAAGGCAUCGAUCAGUAGCUGGUCUGAGAGGACGACCAGCCACACUGGGACUGAGACACGGCCCAGACUCCUACGGGAGGCAGCAGUGGGGAAUUUUGGACAAUGGGGGCAACCCUGAUCCAGCAAUGCCGCGUGAGUGAAGAAGGCCUUCGGGUUGUAAAGCUCUUUUGUCAGGGAAGAAACGGUGAGGGCUAAUAUCCUUUGCUAAUGACGGUACCUGAAGAAUAAGCACCGGCUAACUACGUGCCAGCAGCCGCGGUAAUACGUAGGGUGCAAGCGUUAAUCGGAAUUACUGGGCGUAAAGCGUGCGCAGGCGGUUAUGCAAGACAGAUGUGAAAUCCCCGGGCUCAACCUGGGAAUUGCAUUUGUGACUGUAUGGCUAGAGUGUGUCAGAGGGGGGUAGAAUUCCACGUGUAGCAGUGAAAUGCGUAGAUAUGUGGAGGAAUACCGAUGGCGAAGG
rnacentral:rRNA from 1 species